GCGGCCUAUCAGCUUGUUGGUGAGGUAGUGGCUCACCAAGGCGACGACGGGUAGCCGGCCUGAGAGGGCGACCGGCCACACUGGGACUGAGACACGGCCCAGACUCCUACGGGAGGCAGCAGUGGGGAAUAUUGCACAAUGGGCGAAAGCCUGAUGCAGCGACGCCGCGUGAGGGAUGACGGCCUUCGGGUUGUAAACCUCUUUCAGCAGGGAAGAAGCGAAAGUGACGGUACCUGCAGAAGAAGCGCCGGCUAACUACGUGCCAGCAGCCGCGGUAAUACGUAGGGCGCAAGCGUUGUCCGGAAUUAUUGGGCGUAAAGAGCUCGUAGGCGGCUUGUCACGUCGGUUGUGAAAGCGCGGGCUAAUCCCGGGGCUUAACCCCGGGUCUGCAGUCGAUACGGGCAGGCUAGAGUUCGGUAGGGGAGAUCGGAAUUCCUGGUGUAGCGGUGAAAUGCGCAGAUAUCAGGAGGAACACCGGUGGCGAAGGCGGAUCUCUGGGCCGAUACUGACGCUGAGGAGCGAAAGCGUGGGGAGCGAACAGGAUUAGAUACCCUGGUAGUCCACGCCGUAAACGGUGGGCACUAGGUGUGGGCAACAUUCCACGUGUCCG
rnacentral:rRNA from 1 species